rnacentral:rRNA from 1 species
UACGUAGGGACCAAGCGGUGUUCGGAUUUACUGGGCGUAAAGGGCGCGUAGGCGGCUUAACAAGUCACUUGUGAAAUCUCUGAGCUUAACUCAGAACGGCCAAGUGAUACUGCAGUGCUAGAGUGUGGAAGGGGCAAUCGGAAUUCUUGGUGUAGCGGUGAAAUGCGUAGAUAUCAAGAGGAACACCUGAGGUGAAGACGGGUUGCUGGGCCAACACUGACGCUGAGGCGCGAAAGCCAGGGGAGCAAACGGG